rnacentral:rRNA from 1 species
AUUGAACGCUGGCGGCAGGCCUAACACAUGCAAGUCGAGCGGGGUUUUCGGACCUAGCGGCGGACGGGUGAGUAAUGCGUAGGAAGCUGCCCGAUAGAGGGGGAUACCAGUUGGAAACGACUGUUAAUACCGCAUAAUGUCUACGGACCAAAGUGUGGGACCUUCGGGCCACAUGCUAUCGGAUGCGCCUACGUGGGAUUAGCUAGUUGGUGAGGUAAUGGCUCACCAAGGCGACGAUCUCUAGCUGGUUUGAGAGGAUGAUCAGCCACACUGGAACGGAGACACGGUCCAGACUCCUACGGGAGGCAGCAGUGGGGAAUAUUGGACAAUGGGCGCAAGCCUGAUCCAGCCAUGCCGCGUGUGUGAAGAAGGCCUUCGGGUUGUAAAGCACUUUCAGCGAGGAGGAAGGGGUAGUCGUUAAUAGCGGCUACUUUUGACGUUACUCGCAGAAGAAGCACCGGCUAACUCUGUGCCAGCAGCCGCCGUAAGAC